ACCGAAUAGAUACUCUGGUAGUCCACGCCCUAAACGAUGCGAACUGGAUGUUGGGUACAUUACGGUACUCAGUGUCGAAAGCUAACGCGUUAAGUUCGCCGCCUGGGGAGUACGGUCGCAAGACUGAAACUCAAAGGAAUUGACGGGGGCCCGCACAAGCGGUGGAGUAUGUGGUUUAAAUUCGAUGCAACGCGAAGAACCUUACCUGGCCUUGACAUCUGUCGAAUCCUGCAGAGAUGCGGGAGUGCCGCAAGGAACGACAAGACAGGUGCUGCAUGGCUGUCGUCAGCUCGUGUCGUGAGAUGUUGGGUUAAGUCCCGCAACGAGCGCAACCCUUGUCCCUAGUUGCCAGCACGUAAUGGUGGGAACUCUAGGGAGACUGCCGGUGACGAACCGGAGGAAGGUGGGGAUGACGUCAAGUCCUCAUGGCCCUUACGGCCAGGGCUACACACGUACUACAAUGGUCGGUACAGAGGGUUGCGAAGCCGCGAGGCGAAGCCAAUCCCAGAAAACCGAUCCCAGUCCGGAUUGGAGUCUGC
rnacentral:rRNA from 1 species